AUCGCUUCUCGGCAUUUUUGGCUAAGAUCAAGUGUAGUAUCUGUUCUUAUCAGAUCUCACUACUUUCUACCUAAAUGCACCCCUU
rnacentral:snRNA from 1 species